rnacentral:rRNA from 1 species
CGCCCGCUCAGAAAUCAAAGGAAUUGACGGGGACCCGCACAAGCGGUGGAUGAUGUGGAUUAAUUCGAUGCAACGCGAAAAACCUUACCUACCCUUGACAUGCCAGGAAUCCUGCAGAGAUGUGGGAGUGCUCGAAAGAGAACCUGGACACAGGUGCUGCAUGGCUGUCGUCAGCUCGUGUCGUGAGAUGUUGGGUUAAGUCCCGCAACGAGCGCAACCCUUGUCAUUAGUUGCCAUCAUUUAGUUGGGCACUCUAAUGAGACUGCCGGUGACAAACCGGAGGAAGGUGGGGAUGACGUCAAGUCCUCAUGGCCCUUAUGGGUAGGGCUUCACACGUCAUACAAUGGUCGGUACAAAGGGUUGCCAAGCCGCGAGGUGGAGCCAAUCCCAGAAAGCCGAUCGUAGUCCGGAUCGGAGUCUGCAACUCGACUCCGUGAAGUCGGAAUCGCUAGUAAUCGUGGAUCAGCAUGCCACGGUGAAUACGUUCCCGGGCCUU